rnacentral:rRNA from 1 species
AGAGUUUGAUCAUGGCUCAGGACUAACGCUGGCGGCGUGCCUAACACAUGCAAGUCGAACGAGGUCCAUCCAGUGGCAACACCGGAGAAGACCUAGUGGCGAACGGGUGAGUAACACGUGAGGAACCUGCCCCGAAGACUGGGAUAACAGCGGGAAACCGCUGCUAAUACCGGAUACCCCCAUCGGACCACAUGGCCUGA